UUAUAACCUCUCGAGAUUUAAUUCUAUAGAGCUGGAAUUAUCACACCAUAUAAUAGUAACAGUUAGAAACCCUAUUUUCAAUUGAAGAAACAAAAAUUGAGGUACACAGCAAAUGAGUUUCACGAAAAUCUACAGAUCAAAGGUCACAGGUGGAGGAAACGUCUCAAAAACUAAUAGGCAACCAAAUACUUAGUUAAAUUGCCG
rnacentral:misc_RNA from 1 species